rnacentral:rRNA from 1 species
UACGGGGGGGGCAAGCGUUGUUCGGAAUUACUGGGCGUAAAGGGCCAGUAGGCGGCCAACUAAGUCCGACGUGAAAUCCCAAGGCUUAACCUUGGAACUGCGUCGGAUACUGGAUGGCUUGAAUUCGGGAGAGGGAUGCAGAAUUCCAGGUGUAGCGGUGAAAUGCGUAGAUAUCCGGAGGAACACCGGUGGCGAAGGCGGCUUCCUGGACCGAUUACUGACGCUGAGGCGCGAAAGCUAGGGGAGCAAACGGG